GUGGCUUUUAGAAAAGUAACUCCUUUAGGGAUGUCAGGAUAAGUAACAGACACUGCUCCAGUGUCCAGAAUCCUGCUCCUCCUCCAAGAUGUACUUGCCCACUCAGGUUUUAUUGAUCUUGUUCUUCUCCCAAUUGGAGGUUACUAUUACAGCUCCCUGAAAGCAAUCCAGACUUGUAUCAAAUAUACAUCAUUUAGGUACUUUUGUAUGAUUGCUUCAGGUUCAGUACAACAGGUCCCAAUAGUACCUAGGGUAAAUCCCAGCCAUGCACGAAGAUCCCUCUGUGAUGUGAUGAGAUCCUGGUUUUCUUUGCCUACCUCUGACACGGACAUGCACAACUCCCCUGUUCAGUGGGAUCAUUGCCCUUCAGAUCCACUCUUCUUCCCUUGGGGUCCUUCUCUCCUUCUCUGUCCAUUCUUAUUUUACUCUCAUUCCUAGUCCAGCCCUCCUCCUAUCUCAAUUCCUCCAACUAAAUCUUUCCUGACCACUUCCAUAAAAACAAAUCUAUACUUUACCUCAAAAAUGGUGGUCUUAAGGAGCUCAAUAAAACUUUUUAGAGUGAUGGAUGUAUUUUCUAUAUUGAUAGUGGUGAUUGUAACACAAGUAUAUGCAACUAUUAAAACAUCCAGUUGCACACUUGACUAGGUGAAUUGUAUUAUAGGUAAAUUCUCUCUCAACGGAGACAGAUGAACAACUCACAUAAUGAUGUCACCUACCACUGGCACCACUCCUUUGAUGAUGAACUUAUUCACACUGUGUUGAGACCUCCCCUUCCUGACGUGUCUAGCUGGGAAGCCAAGGGACAGACAACAGAAAUGUGAAUCUGGGCAACAACACUGAGGGGUCUUCUGGGAAAAGAAUCAGACGGGGUCACUUGUGGGGUCUUCACACCCACAGACCAAGAUGGGAAAGGAAGGGUUGAAAGGUGGAGUAGGAAAUAGUGUAAAUUACAGAGAAGGUCUGCAAGGUGCAAAAGAGCUCUCCACCCAAGGGAAGAAUGGAUUGGUUUUAAUGUGAGACUUGGUGGUGGGGCCUGUGGCUCAGAGGGGAAUGUGGCGCCAUGUUUAAACAUGGUGGAUGCUUCUGGAUCCUUUCCCAGCUAACUGCCCUGGCAAU
rnacentral:lncRNA from 1 species